UGGGGAAUAUUGCACAAUGGGCGCAAGCCUGAUGCAGCCAUGCCGCGUGUAUGAAGAAGGCCUUCGGGUUGUAAAGUACUUUCAGCGAGGAGGAAGGCGGUAAGGUUAAUAACCUUAUCGAUUGACGUUACUCGCAGAAGAAGCACCGGCUAACUCCGUGCCAGCAGCCGCGGUAAUACGGAGGGUGCAAGCGUUAAUCGGAAUUACUGGGCGGAAAGCGCACGCAGGCGGUCUGUCAAGUCGGAUGUGAAAUCCCCAGGCUCAACCUGGGAACUGCAUUCGAAACUGGCAGGCUAGAGUCUUGUAGAGGGGGGUAGAAUUCCAGGUGUAGCGGUGAAAUGCGUAGAGAUCUGGAGGAAUACCGGUGGCGAAGGCGGCCCCCUGGACAAAGACUGACGCUCAGGUGCGAAAGCGUGGGGAGCAAACA
rnacentral:rRNA from 1 species